rnacentral:rRNA from 1 species
UACGUAGGGAGCAAGCGUUGUCCGGAAUCAUUGGGCGUAAAGCGCGCGCAGGCGGCGGUGUUGGCCCGGCGUGAAAGCCCCCGGCUCAACCGGGGAGAGUCGUCGGGGACCGCACCGCUUGAGGGCGGUAGGGGCUGGUGGAAUGCCUGGUGUAGUGGUGAAAUGCGUAGAGAUCAGGCAGAACACCUGGGGCGAAGGCGGCCAGCUGGGCCGUCCCUGACGCUGAGGCGCGAAGGCGUGGGGAGCGAACGGG